rnacentral:rRNA from 1 species
GACGAACGCUGGCGGCGUGCUUAACACAUGCAAGUCGAACGGAAAGGCCCUGCUUUUGUGGGGUGCUCGAGUGGCGAACGGGUGAGUAACACGUGAGUAACCUGCCCUUGACUUUGGGAUAACUUCAGGAAACUGGGGCUAAUACCGGAUAGGAGCUCCUGCUGCAUGGUGGGGGUUGGAAAGUUUCGGCGGUUGGGGAUGGACCCGCGGCUUAUCAGCUUGUUGGUGGGGUAGUGGCUUACCAAGGCUUUGACGGGUAGCCGGCCUGAGAGGGUGACCGGCCACAUUGGGACUGAGAUACGGCCCAGACUCCUACGGGAGGCAGCAGUGGGGAAUAUUGCACAAUGGGCGGAAGCCUGAUGCAGCAACGCCGCGUGCGGGAUGACGGCCCUCGGGUUGUAAACCGCUUUCGCCUGUGACGAAGCGUGAGUGACGGUAAUGGGUAAAGAAGCACCGGCUAACUACGUG